GAGUACGACCGCAAGGUUGAAACUCAAAGGAAUGACGGGGGCCCGCACAAGCGGUGGAGCAUGUGGUUUAAUUCGAAGCAACGCGAAGAACCUUACCAGGUCUUGACAUCCUUUGACCACUCUAGAGAUAGAGCUUUCCCUUCGGGGACAAAGUGACAGGUGGUGCAUGGUUGUCGUCAGCUCGUGUCGUGAGAUGUUGGGUUAAGUCCCGCAACGAGCGCAACCCUUAUUGUUAGUUGCCAUCAUUCAGUUGGGCACUCUAGCGAAACUGCCGGUGACAAACCGGAGGAAGGUGGGGAUGACGUCAAAUCAUCAUGCCCCUUAUGACCUGGGCUACACACGUGCUACAAUGGACAGUACAAUGAGCAGCGACACGGCGACGUGAAGCGAAUCUCAUAAAGCUGUUCUCAGUUCGGAUUGUAGGCUGCAACUCGCCUACAUGAAGCCGGAAUCGCUAGUAAUCGCGGAUCAGCACGCCGCGGUGAAUACGUUCCCGGGCCUUGUACACACCGCCCGUCACACCACGAAAGUUUGUAACACCCAAAGUCGGUGAGGUAACCUUCGGGAGCCAGCCGCCUAAGGUGGGAUAGAUGAUUGGGGUGAAGUCGUAACAAGGUAACCA
rnacentral:rRNA from 1 species